UACGGAGGAUCCGAGCGUUAUCCGGAUUUAUUGGGUUUAAAGGGUGCGCAGGCGGGAGAUUAAGUCGGCGGUGAAAUUUUGCAGCUCAACUGUAAAAGUGCCUUCGAAACUGGUUUCCUUGAGUGUAGAUGAAGUAGGCGGAAUUUGUGGUGUAGCGGUGAAAUGCUUAGAUAUCACGAGGAACUCCGAUUGCGCAGGCAGCUUACUAAACUACUACUGACGCUCAGGCACGAAAGCGUGGGGAUCAAACAGGAUUAGAUACCCCCGUAGUCCCU
rnacentral:rRNA from 1 species